rnacentral:piRNA from 1 species
UGGAAUCAAUAUGAUGAGAUC